CGGGACUAGAACCCCUUCUACCCAGUCUCCCGCACCGCUUCCCCUUUUUCCUCCCCUUUCUAGUCUGUGAGGCCCAGCACCCCUACUCCCACUUCAUUCAGAGCUGUGGCUCUGUGAGUACAGAGGGGAUUGUCACCCAAGGCCUUGACUGUAGACUUGGGUAGAGAUGGGGGUUCCUGGUAGAGACAGGUCGCCAUAACCUGGAGCUCUUUGUUUUUCCCUUCUGCAUAAUAGCACAGAGCUUUGUGAUUACCCAAGCAAGGCUGAGAGAUGAGCCGCCUGCUGCAACCCUUUAAAAAUUACAACCCCCUAUCAUUAUUAAGGAAGUAUUCUCAUUAUAGAACAUGGAACCUUCCAAUGAAAAAGAAAAUAGGGAAACAAUCCCUACUCCCCACAACUGAUUCGAGGCUCUGGAGAAUUCUGGGGUGGGGGAGGGGACGGGCUUGGACACAAGCUGGUGCAGCUGCAGGGUCAGGCUGGCUGGCGUGGGGUGGGUCCAGCGUCACGAAUGCCUGGCGGGAUGGGCCAUGUGUACGCUGCCGCCGUGGAGCAGCCAGCCCCAUCUGGAAGACUAGUGAUUUUGUUGUUGUCUCCUGCACUCAACAACAAGUCCCAGUCUGCCGCAUGGUGCCGGCCACCGCAGCGGGGCGGGGCCGGGGCCGGGCACUCCCUCUGCGGCUGUCCUUCCGUUAGGUUCUUUCUGCACCUUCUCUGUCUCCUAGCAAGCAUCUCCGAAACUACCCUGAGCGCCCCUCUGGGCAGCACGCUUCAGGCAGACUCUUCCAGAAACAAGAACUGACUAGAUUGUGGGGCGAGGGGUGGCCAGGGUCUCCAUCCUCCCCAAGGAGGCACGUGCUCAUGACCUUGGUGCCUGCGAUGCUGUUGCGCUGCGGUCACCUGGAGGACACGCCUGGCCCUGGCCCGCUUGGACCUUGCCUUGCCUACCCGGGGGGAGAGGUGGACUUGUGUGGACAGACCUUCUUCCCGACCCCGGAAUCUGCCUCUGCGCUGCUGAGUCCAGACGCAUCACCAGGGGAAAACUGAGGUGAGGACGCUCACGACUCCAGCUGAGCCUGGACAGCAGUCCCCCACUAUGGCAGAAGCAGUGGUCAUCAAAACCAUUUCCCAGCCUUUGUCUAUGUCUCUGUGGGGGGGCGGGGGGAGGCGUUGCCUUGCCCUGGGAUGGUCGCCAAGUUCCAGUGAUGAUUCUCUCCACAAGGACAAGUUUUUCAGCCAGCAAACUCAGAUGUCCUCGUCAGUCCUUUCUGUGACUGAAGGUAAAAGGAGAAGGGGGGGGCAGAAGUGGAGAAGCGGGAGAGGAGGGGGAUCAAAUCUCUUCCAGGGGUCUUCAGUAUCCAGAGCUGCUAUGGAGACAGAUGGGAGAGAGAUCCUGCCUCUGUGAAACAAACAUCUGGCAGGGUGGGUCAUGAGUGCUUUCCUGAUUUGAGAGAUGGACAAGAGUGCUGCUGUUGCUAUGGGGCAAGGUGCACAACGGAGGGAGUGAGGCACUUCCUAGAGGGGUUGGUAGGGAUGCCUGGCUUCCAAGUCAGACACACCCCAGUUCCAAUCCUGGAUGCAUCACUUAGUGGCUGUGUGGCUUUGAGGUAUGUGACUUAACAUCUCUGAGCCUCAGAUGUCUUUAAUUAUAAAAGGGAACUGGUCGUAUCCACCUUGCCAGGUUAUGAUAAUUAAUUGAGAGAGGUGUGAUAAUAUAUAAGGGCACAUGUAAAUGCUCAACAGUAGUCUCUUUGCCUCUUCUUUCAUAGUUUUUCUCUUCUGGCAUCUGAGGGUACCCACAGGUCCCCGUCCUUGAACUAGGAACAAAUGAGAUCAACCACGUGUUGAAAGUGUAAGUCACAUCUGACUCUUUGUGACCCCAUGGACUGUAAGCCACCAGGCUCCUCUGUCCAUGGGAUUUCCCAGGCAAGAAUACUGGAGUGGGUUGCCAUUUCCUUCUCCAGGGGAUCUUCCCAACCCAGGGAUCCCAUCUAAAUGUUUAUCCUUCCCCCCAGGUGAGUAUUUUGCCCACUUCAGGAGGCUCAAUAUAUAUCUAAAGAACGACUAUAGACCAAGUCUCCCACCUCCCUUUCCCCUUCCCACAAUUUCCCAUUUUAAAAAUGCAGAAACCAAGACUUGGGUUGUCUGACUUACCUCUAGGUUACUCAGAAAAGCAGACAGCUUAUUACUUCUUAAGGUAACUUUCUCGGAGUCUCAGAACAAAAAAUGGUUCUUGAUCCAAGGAUCAGGUAUCUGGGGUCCCUUACCUAAACCGCAUCGCGGGGGGUUUUUUUGUAGCUGGCAGCCCGAUGAACACGCGCGUUUCCAAGGAUGAGCAGGGAGGCAGCGCCCUCUGCUGGGUCCUUCAGGUAUCUGCGCUUUAGCGCCCGUUCUCAGUCUUGGCUGCAAACUAGAACCACUUGGUGAGCUUUAAAAAACCUCCAAAAUUCAGUUCACAUUGCGGGCUAGUCACAUCGGAAUCUUGGGGCUGUCACCCAAGUGUCAACAUUUUUUAAAACUCCGCAGACAAUUCCAAUGUUCAGCCAAAACUGAGUAAUAAUUACAGAUGAAUUCUCUAAGUGAAGAAAAUGUAGUCUAGAAUGGAAAAACUAAUGGUGGAGAAUAAAAUUCCCUUGGAUCAAACCUUGCCAGUUUUCUAUUAAAGAUCAGUCAUGUGGGGCUUCCCCGGGGGGCUCAGUGGUAAAGAAUCCGCCUGCCAACGCAGGAGACAGAGGUUCGAUCUCCGAUUCUGAAAGAUCCCACAUGCCGUGGAACAGCUAAGCCCAGGUACCACAACUGCUGAGCCUGUGCUCUAGAGCCGAGAGCGGCAGCUACUGAAGCCCGAACACCUUAGCGCCUGUGCUUCCCACGAGGGAAGCCGCGGCAACAAGCCCGCACACCUCAACCAGAGAGCAGCCCCCGCUUGCUGCAAGUAGAGAAAGCCCUCACAGCAGCAAAGACGCAGCACUGCCAAAGAUAGAUAAAUAAAUGAAAAAUCAGUCACGUGAGCCUUGACGCGGUUCUAAAAAUACUGGAAACCUCAGGAGUUGGGGGUGAGGUAGGAGAUAGAUAGGCUCCAGGUUGGGAAAUUCCGAAUCAGCCAGCCUCCUCUUUGCAUUUCCUGAGAUAGGUGGGCUUCAGUAGAGGAAUUUACAAUCAGCUCCCUGUUUGCUCUUGGAAACGGAAGUAGCAACAGAAAUAGGGUAAAUAGCCAGUCCUUGUCUCUUGUAAACACCUCGAAUAAUCGAGGCAAGGAUAAAGAGAGGCAAAAACUCUGAGUAAAGGAUAAAGGAGAUAGUACACAUGGGCAGAAAGGUUCCUUGGAGUCAAAAGUCAGAGGAUAAUUCCAGGCCAUAAUGAGUCUUGCUCCUCCCAGAAGCCUUCACUUUGAGGUCCAUCUUAGUAAGGUGUGCGUGCGGACCCCAGGGGAGGGUCCUGAGACAAAUUAACCAGAGUGUAGCGGGUGGUACAAAGCAAGAUGAUUGGCCUGAGGGAAUACAAAGACCUGGAAAACUGUCCCCUUGUUUAUAAAAGAUUCAAACUUCAAAGGUGCGGCUGUCUCUCCGAGCUCGCCCAGGUGUCUUUCCACACGUUCUUUUCUUUUCAAUAAACUUUUUACUCUUUACCUUCUGUCUCCUUGCCUGAAUUCAUUCUUGAGUAGACAGGCAAGACUAGGGAACUUAGCCCUAACUGCUGGCUCCUGUGGUCCAGGGGUUAGGACUCCCAGUCUGGAAAACUAAAGGCCUUGCUUCCAGCUACCACUUGCUGCCACUUACUGCUGCGCGCGUCUGAAAUCAGGGGAAGAUAUAGAGGUACCGCAGAUAGGUGCAAAGUCACCGUGGGGUCAAGAAUGCUAGUAGAGCAGGAGUGUGCUUGAAUAGAAUGAGUAAGUUACUUACGUUGGCUCCCAGCGUUGUGCCAGCUUCACACCCUCUAACACAUCGGAUUUUAAACUUGAAGAUGCAUCAGGAAGCUGUUAAUCAGGUUGUUAAAACACAGACCGCCUGGGCCCCACCCACCCCUGAAUUUCUAAGUCAGUGGGUCCAACCUGUUUCCAGGCGAUCCCUAGGCUGCUGGUUGAGGACCACCCUUAGAGAACCACUGCUGCAAACAAUGGCUGGAUGGACACCCACCCUCCUGUCUGCACCGGAUCCAGCCACAUGGGAAUCCCCAUAGCAUCCCGGAUAGUCUUCAAAACAGGCAUGAGGGAUUUCCCUGGUGGCCCAGUGAUUAAGACUUCGCCUUCCAACGCAGGCAGGUGUGGAUUCAAUCCCUGGUCGGGGAACUGAGAUCCCCAAUGUCUUGCAGCCAAAAAACCAAACCAUAAAAUGGAAGCAGUAUUGUAUCAAAUUCAAUAAAGACUCUAAAGACGGUCCACAUUAAAAAAGGAAAAAAAGUCUUAAAAAUAGGCAUGCAAGGAAGGCAGAAUGUUGCUUCGAGAGUUUGGCUUGAUGGUUUGUAAGGGCAAAGCACAAGUCAAGUCAUACGUCUCAAGUGCUGCUUGAUGUACAAGGUAGAGGGAGAAAGGGCAGGACUUGGAUCAUGGGCUUUCCCGCAUCAAGCCCGGCUCAAGGGGUCUGUUAUAGGGGAGCCCUACUCUUUGUGGAAGGAGGAGGUAGGUUCAUUUAAGGAAUGGGAGGGUGAGGGCCCUAAAGUUUGAAGUUCACAGACAAGAUAUGCCAGUAUUGGGCCAUCCAUGUUGUAUACUUGAGGACUUCCAACUUUUUUGCUUGAUAAUGUCUUGUCAUAACCCUUGGUAGUUAUAAAAGAUGUAUUGGAAAUAUUGACUUUUUUUUUUUUAAUGUGUCUGUAUUCAUUGGAAG
ensembl:lncRNA